GCGCCCGUAGCUCAGCUGGAUAGAGCGCCGGACUUCGAAUCCGUAGGUCGCAGGUUCGAAUCCUGCCGGGCGUGCCA
rnacentral:tRNA from 4 species